GAGUUUGAUCAUGGCUCAGGACGAACGCUGGCGGUGCGCCUUAUGCAUGCAAGUUGAGCGAAGCUUUUUGGUAGUUUACUACUAGAAAUGACUGAGCGGCGAACGGGUGAGUAACGCGUGAGCAAUCUACCUUAGUUACUGGGAUAGCCCGAGGAAACUCGGAUUAAUACCAGAUAUUCUUAUUUUUUCACAUGAAGUUUUAAGGAAAGGUCAGCCGAACUAAGAUGAGCUCGCGUUCUAUCAGCUAGUUGGUGGGGUAAAAGCCUACCAAGGCUACGACGGAUAGCUGGUCUGAGAGGACGAUCAGCCACACUGGGACUGAGACACGGCCCAGACUCCUACGGGAGGCUGCAGCAGGGAAUAUUGUGCAAUGAGCGAAAGCUUGACACAGCGACACCGCGUGUGGGAUGACGGUUCUAGGAUUGUAAACCACUUUCAGGAGGGAAGAAAAUGACGGUACCUCCACAAGAAGACCCGGCCAACUAUGUGCCAGCAGCCGCGGUAAUACAUAGGGGUCAAGCGUUGUCCGGAUUUAUUGGGCGUAAAGAGCUCGUAGGCGGUUCAACAAGUCGGUCGUAAAAGUUUAGGGCUCAACCCUAAAAUGUCGAUCGAUACUGUUGUGACUAGGAUACGGUAGAGGUGAAUGGAAUUCCGAGUGUAGCGGUGAAAUGCGUAGAUAUUCGGAGGAACACCAAUUGCGAAGGCAGUUCACUGGACCGUGAUCGACGCUGAGGAGCGAAAGCUAGGGGAGCAAACAGGAUUAGAUACCCUGGUAGUCCUAGCUGUAAACGAUGGAUACUAGAUGUAGGAACUGGAUUGACGGUUUCUGUAUCGUAGCUAACGCGUUAAGUAUCCCGCCUGGGG
rnacentral:rRNA from 1 species